ACUGGACAAAUGCAAAGUAAAUUAAGGAUAAGAUAAGAAUGCCAGAAUCUGACGGGAGGGACUGGUGGUAGCAAGAUUCUACACUUUAACAAGGUCCCAGGUAAUUCUUAGGUUAACUGAAGUCUUCAAGCCACAAGUCAGUGAUCUAGAAAAGCAUUUGAGAAACCUAGUUCACAGUUGGGGUUUUCACUGAAAAAUAUAAAUAAAGGUAAGUAACUAGGGGAAAAGAUAGGAUUAUAUAACUUUUAUCCUAAAACACCACAAACACAAUCUCUCAACGGUCAUUUCAUAAAAUCAAAAAAGUAGGAAAGAAUAACAAGAAUUUUAAGAAAUAGAAAUUAAAUUAUAGGAAAGAAAGGCAAAAAAAAAGCGAUAUUCUUAAUUUCCAUUGAAAAUAGAUUACGAAAACUUUGUUGCAGACAUACAUCAACUACUCUAUGGACUAUUGAAGAAGCGAAGUGAAGUGAAGUCGCUCAGUCGUGUCCGACUCUUGCGACCCGGUGGACUGUAGCCCACCAGGCUCCUCCAUCCAUGGGAUUCUCCAGCUUGAACAUCUGGAAGUUCAUGGUUCAUGAACUGCUGAAGCCUGGGCUGGAGAAUUUUGAGCAUCAUUUUGCUGGAUGUGAGAUGAUCGAAAGUUGGCCGUCUGCAAGCCAGGAAGAGUGGCUUCGCUGGGGAGCUGAGUCAACCAGCACCUUGAUCUUGGACAUCCCAGCCUCUGAACUGUGAAAAACAUAUUCCUGUUGUUUGUACAGCACCUUUUGUGUUUUUUUGCCUCACUUAUCUGGAUUGUAAA
ensembl:lncRNA